rnacentral:rRNA from 1 species
AUGUCCGUCUGCCCGUCCGUCUGCUUCGCCACUCAGACGACAAGACGCAACCCGGCCUGCCUGCCCGCUUCAACGCCUCGCCGGCAGGAGCGCCGGCCCGGGCGCCUGCCCGCCUUGCCGCCCGUUCGGUCGGAGCCGACCGGCCGGGACCCCCUUUCGAGCACCCGGAGGCUCGAAGACCAUACCCAGCGGGUGCGCCGGCGCGCUCCGCUAACGCUGCGCAGCGCCGGCUGUCUUCGUCAACAUCCGCCUCAUCUGCGUCAAAGCAAUGUGAGCUCCUCACCCGCAUAUUUUUGCACCGUGCAAACACGGAUAACCCCGAGCGAUGAUCGGGGGCUAUCUCCGCAUUUUAUUAAGUUGCACUACUGUUCGCCACGGCGCCAGCCAGAGUUGGCCCGGAGGCUGGCCGCUUGGCUUGAGACGUUUGUUCCCGUAGACGGCUUAAUAGCGUGCGCGGUACAAAAGGCUCACUCUUAG